rnacentral:lncRNA from 1 species
GACUCCGCAUGCGCACUGGAGCCUCGGAAUACAGCCAGGACUCUCCCGUCGGAAUGCGCCCCUAAGUUGGGCCAAGCCCAUUCAUUCAGGGGCUCCCGAGCCACGUAGGCGCCAUCCCUGGCCAGAGGGGUUCUGAGGAGGUGGGCAAGGGCAGACACUCUCUCCCGGUCUCAAAUUCGAAAUAGGGACUAGAAGGGAACUUCACGCGAGGCCUCGCAACUGUCGCGAGAAUCAGAACAGGAAAUCUAGGAACCGAGAACACUAAGAGCCCGCGGAUUUUAAACAGGAAAAAGAAAGGGCGGAGCAAACUCUGGCGGAUAGUUGUGAGUAAUCCCUGGUCCUUGGAAUAAGUGUCGACCUGAGACAGAAGGGGAACUGUCAGAGAGCUGCCGGAGACCCUGAAAAAGGCCAGAGACGGGGACUUGUGGGGCUGACGAAUGGAAUCACCCAAGGAGAGGUCUCUGACUCUAACAAAACACCUUGGGGACGGAGCUCCUUGGCUGGGAUACAGAGCAGACAAGUCCGGGAUCUUUUAGUGAAUUGCUGCCGGCUUCUAAGGCCUGGAGCAGAUAUUCAACAACAAACUCCACGGACCUAGAAACUCUCCACUUAUCCUACUAUUGUAGACGGUGGCUUACUUUUAGUCUUCCCUAUGCUCUAAGCUUCUGGUAGUAGGAAUCGUGCCUAACUCACUACUGUAUCUUGUGAACCUAGCCCCGCGCCUGGUGGCACGUCAAAUUCUCGGUAAAUAUUUGUGGAUUAAAUGUGAAAGACUGCCUGAGUGUUUAACCUGGAUUUUCUGAGUCGCUGAUGGAGAACAGUAGGUAGACGGGGAACCAGCGCCCUCUGGUGGGCUUGUGGUUCGUGACGAGAACAUGCUGGAACCGUGCAUCCAGACAGAGUUUCACUGUUGUUGCCCAGGCUGGAGUGCAAUGGCACAAUCUCGGCUCACUGCAACCUCCACUUUCCACGUUCAAGCAAUUCUCCUGCCUCAGCCUCCCGUGUAGCUGGGAUUAUAGGCAUGCACCACCAUGCUAGGCUAAUUUUGUAUGUUUAGUAGAGACAGUGUUUCACCACGUUGGUCAGGCUGGUCUUGAACUGACCUUAAGUGAUCCACCCACCUCGGCCUCGCAAAGUGCUGGGAUUACAGACGUGAGCCACCGCGCCUGGCCCUUUCUACAUUUCUUGUUCUCAUUUUGUUUUUAACUUAAUUUCAUUAUGAAGUAUAAUAGACAAGCAGAAAAGUGCACAAAGUAGAUAUAUGGUUAAAUUAAUUAUUACUAAAUGAACACUUGUGAUUAUCCAGGUCAAGAAACAGAACAUUGCCAACACCCUCAGAAGCCCCCAUCAUGCCCCUCCCCGAUAAUUUUCCCUCCUCUUCUCCCUAGAUAACCAUUUUUUUGUUUGUUUUUUUGAUUUGUUUGUUUGUUUUUGUUGAGACAUGGUCUUUCUCUGUUGCCCAGGCUAGAGUGCAGUGGCGUGAUCAUGGUUUGUUGCAGUCUCAAAGUCCUGGGUUCAAAGGAUCCUUCCACGUCAGCCUCCCAAGUAGCUGGGACUACAGGCACACCACCACACCUAGCUAAUUUUUUUAUUUUUAUUUUUGCAGAGACAAAGUCUUACUAUGUUAUCCAGGCUGGUGUGGAACUCCUGACCUCAAGCAGUCCUCCCACCUCAGCCUCCCAAAUUGCUGGGAUUAUAGAUGUGAACCACUGUGCCUGGCCAAUAACCACCUUUAACUCUAUACUUUAAGUUUACCUGGUUUUGACAUUUAUAGAAAUUGGGACAUGCCUAGGAUUGGAAUUACUGCUUCAUGUGAUAUGCAUAUUCAACAUUAGUAGAUUUUCUUUUCCUUCCUUCCUUCUUUCCUUCCUUCCUUCCUCCUUUCCUUCCUUCCUUUCCUUCCUUCCUUCCUUCCUUUUCUUUCUUUCCUUUUCUUUUCUUUCUUUCCUUCUUUUCUUUCUUUUUUUUUCUUUUCUUUCUCACAGGGUCUCACUCUAUCUGGGCUAGUCCCAAACUCCUCGGCUUAAGCAAUCCUCCCACCUCAGCCUCCCAAAAUGCUGGGAUUAUCAACAUUAGUAGAUAUUACCAUACACUUUUUCCAGUGUGAUGUAUGAAUUUAUAUAGUCUUCAGCAGUUGAUGAGUUUUCAUUAUGCCACAUCCUUGCCAAGAGUUGGUAUUGUUGUUGUUCUUUUAAAUUUUAGCCAUUAGGUAAAAAUUUUAGAGCCUAAAAUUUUUAAAUGGCCAGUUCUGCAAGGAUUUCCUCUCUUGGAUAUUUUUUUAAAAACCUUUUAUUUUGAAUUUUAGACUUGGAUAGAAGUUGUGAAAAUAGCAAAGAAAUUUCCCAUGUACCUGUCACCUAGCCUACCCUGGUGAUAACAUAAUAUCUUAUAUAACCAUGAUAUAAUUAUCAAAACCAGGAAAUUGAAAUUUAUACAGUACUAUUAGCUAAACAAUGGACCUUAUUUGGAUAUCACUGGUUUGAUAUUACGUGUGUGUGUAUAAUUGAAAUUUUAUUGCAUGUGUAGAGUUGUGUGACCAUGAGGUGAGUAAAUGGGUCUUCAGGGGUAUGACAGGGUAAAACUGAUGCCAAGGGAAAAGCUAGUAGACUCUAUAGUACUAAACACAAUGUCAUUUAAUAUAUGAGUAGCUUUAAAAUUAUUAUAUCAAAAGUCAGUGAUAGGAAAGGCAGCUAGUUACGGUAGCUAAACACACACAGCUGGGUGCGGUGACACAUGCCUAUAGUCCCAGCUACUCAGGAGGCUGAGGCAGGAGGAUCACUUGAGUCCAGGAGUUCAAGUCCAGCCUGAGUGAAAUAGCAAGACCCCGUCUCUAUAAAAACAACAAAAACCCACUCUCACACAUUUGCACACUGUGCGUCUACCUGUUGGGGGAGCUGUGCACAUGGGUAAAGUCCCAGGGUCACUGGUUGAAGUUCACUUUGCAUUAUGACACACUCAGAAGGAAAGAUAAGUUUCUGCCCUUACAUCCAAUUUUACUUGAAGACAACUUUCUGUAGGUGAGGCCAGUGAGAUAACUUUCUGCUGACACCCCACAGCAUCCUCGUUCCUUCUGCCGGACUUCCAGAUUUCUAUUUCUGGCCCAAACCUCUCUCCUGAACAUCACUCCAUGGAUUCGUCUACAACCACUUCUAGUAUUUUCUUCCACAGCCAGGGAAGAAGUCCAUAAACAGCUCCCGGCUACAUCAUACUUAGGACGCCCAGAAAAAUGUAUCAGUAUAUCACAUCUCAGGGAAACCUUUUAUUGACUCUGUUUAGGUGAUGUGCUCAACAAUAAUUCACCACAUGGCCCAGGAGCCACCACCCUGGACCACAAACCCCAUAGCAGAUGCAGUCAGUACCUCACUCAUAUACCCUUGGCUCACUCCAAAGGUUACCUGCAGAUAGUUCCUUUAUGACCCGGUGUGUCUGUCUGUCGGAGGGAGUUCUUUAGCCCCUAGAGUCAGCUUGGCUGACAUGCAGGGCAGGCUGGAAAUGCUGUGGAGGUAACAACUCAGGAGCAAGCCACAUCCGGUGAGGAAAAACAAUAGAGGACAGAUAAUCCUGUUCCUUACCCUUCAGUGGGAUAAUUUUGAGGUGUGUUCUCCACAGUUUUGCAGAAGGCUUAGAGAGACUGAGUCACAGUUGUCCUCAGUGGUAACCUGCUCAUUAAUGCAUCCUUUAUUUGGUUUUCCUCCUCUCUCUGACUUCCCUUCCCCCUCACUGUGUUUUCUGGGAUAAACUCCCAAAUAAACUACUUGUACCAAAAUCCUUGCCUUGGGAUCUGCUUUCUGGGAAAUCAAAAUUAAGACAACCCCUGUAAAGGGAGGAGGCCAUCUUCCUGAGUGCCCCAUCAAGACCACAGGGACCAGGGGGAGAUCUUAGACCCCAAAACCACAUUGUGACAAUAUCUUUGCUGACAUCCCACUUUAUUUCCUUCCUUUUUUUUUUUUUUUAAGAGAUAGAAUCUUUUUCUGUGGCCAUGGCUGGAGUGCAGUGGCAUGAUCAUAGCUCACUGCAGCCUUGAACUUCUGGCGUUAAGCAAUCCUGCCUCAGCCUCCCAAGUAGCUGGAACUACAGGUGCAUGCCACCACACCUGGAUAAUUUUUUUUGGUAGAGACAGGGUCUGGCUCUGUUGCCCAGGCUGAUCUUAAACUCCUGGUCUCCCAAAGCACUGGAUAUCCCACUUUUUUCUUCUUCUUCUUCUGUUUUUGAGACAGUGUCUCUGUCACCCAGGCUGGAGUGCAAUGGCACGAUCUUGGCUCACUGCAAGCUCUGCCUCCCGGGUUCAAGCAAUUCUCCUGCCUCAGCCUCUUGAGUAGCUGGGAUUACAGGCACUUGCCACCAUGCCCGGCUAAUUUUUUUGUAUUUUUAGUAGAGAUGGGGUUUCGCCAUGUUGGCCAGGCUGGUCUCGAACUCCUGACCUCAGGUGAUCUGCCUGCCUCGGCCUUCCAAAGUGCUGGGAUUACAAGCAUGAGCCACUGCACCCGGCCUGGAUAUCCCACUUUCAACCUUUGCACUUGAGAAAUAACAGAGUCUAGUGUUGGCUUCUGUGGAGUGUUGGGACUCCCCUCAGCUGACCAGUUCACUGAAACUAAGGAAGAGCCUGACAAGUGUAUGCUCAGAACUCCAAGCAAGAAACAGUGGGGGCUUUCUCAGGGCUGAUGGGAAAUAAAAAGGACUAAUUAGCUAGGAACUACUUGGCUUUUAAGCAACCAAACCACAUGGAGAAUCUCAGGUCCCAGCAGAGCAUCAGAAUAUGAUUCAUAGAAUGCUGUGCAUGUAUAAAAGUUCAUAAGCAUUCCAUGUCAACAUACUCAGCCUGCCAAAAUCCAGAAUUUUUUGUGCCUUUUCUAUCAUUUUCCCCAAGGGUAAGAUACAAGAAGAGAGGUAGCAAAAUGUCACAAUCACAGGACCAGGAGCAGUGGCUCAUGCCUGUAAUCCUAGUGCUUUGGGAGGCCAAGGCAAGAGGAUCACUUGAGGCCAGGUGCCUUGGGCACAUAAGGAUACCCUGCCUCUACCCCCCUCCCCAAAUAGCUUAGCAUGGUGGCCUGCACCUAUAGUCACAGCUACUUGGGAGGCUGAGGUGGGAGGAUUGCUUGAGCCCAGGAGUUCAAGGCUGCAGUGAACCACGAUUGUGCCACUGCACUCCAGCCUGGGCGACAAAGCAAGACCCCGUCUCCAAAAACAAAACAAAAAAGUGGCAAUCAGGAGAACUUCCCAACAAACCUGCUGGAUCUGUCCCCCAGUGUGGGGGAUACAGAUGGGAAAUCUGUUGAGUAGAAUUAAAUAGAAGUUGAUGAACUAAAGAAGUGUGUAGAAUUUGAGGGCUCUAAAUUGGGGGUUAAGAUCCCCUGGGUCCUGGGACUUUUUGACUUGCUGUCACACUCCCCUCAACAACUUUUUUUUUUUUUUUUUUUGAGAAAGGGUCUUUCUUCAUCUCCCAGACUGGAGUGCAGUGGCGCAAUCACAGCUCACUGCAGCCUUGACCUUCUGGGCUCAAGCAGUCCUUGUGCCUCAGUCUCCCAAGUACCUGGGACCACCGCCGCCUGUCAGUACACCCAGCUAAUUUUUAAAAAUUAUUUGUAGAAACGAAGUCUUGCUAUGUUGCCCAGGCUGAACUCAAACUCCUGGGCUCAAGCAAUCCUCCCACCUCAGCCUCCCAAAGUGCUGGGAUUACCAGCACAUGCCACCACACCUGGCCUAACAUUUUUGUUUUGUUUAGAGACGGAGUUUCGCUUUGUCACCCAGGCUGGAGUGCAGUGGCACCAUCUUGGCUCACUGCAACCUCCGCCUCCCAGGUUUGAGCAAAUCUCAUGCCUCAGCCUCCUGAGUAGUUGUGACUACAGGUGUGUACCACCAUGCCUGGCUAAUUUUUUGUAUUUUAGUAGAGACAGGGUUUCACCAUGUUGCCCAGGCUGUCUCAAACUCCUAAGCUCAGGCAGUCUGCCCGCCUCAGCCUGCCAAAGUGCUAGGAUUACAGGCAUGAGUCACUGUGCCUGGCCUGGCCUAACAUUUUUGAAAGUGUGGCUGCAUCACAAGAGACAAAGCUGCUGUGACCCAGGUCUUAUGCUUCUGGAGCUGCCAAGUGCAAACAAUAGCUCAGCCACUGGGCACUGCCUGUGACGGGCAGCAUCUAUGGUAGGUGGCAGCUAGAGGCCCCACAGCCUAGGAAGGGCCUCCCAGAAGUUUUUAUUUUGACUUAGAAUCGAGGCUUUCAGUCUCAGCUUUGCCAGCAGCUGAGACCCAUCUGAACCAAGGUUUCUUCUGAGAAACAAGGGUGAAUUUGGACUUAAGGCAUGUCAUAUUUGGCAUGGUGUUUUUAAGUUUCUACUCAAACGUUGAGACAUUUUAUAUAAAAGUCCAGAAUUUGGGGCCAGAAUUUUCAGGCCAGGAUGUUCAGAGAGGCUUUGAGGAGAACCCCCAGCUGCUCCUAGUGCUAGGAUAGAGAGGUGGGAGGGGUAAGGUAAGAAAGGCCAGAGAUGAUAUCCAAGCUGCUGAUGUUGCCAGAUUGUUUUGAAAACAAACAACAAACAGUGGGGAAUCUGGUCUACCCAGCAACAAUUGAAGGUGAGUACUGGCUGCCGUUUUAAACAGGACUAGCCCUCUCCAGCUCAACACAAUCCCAACCUAGUGUGCUUCCCUUAUUUAAGAUUCCUGACAUAGCCUUUGAGUUCAUGUUCCUUGAACUAGAUGGUUCCUUCAGCUCUAACAUGCAAUAAUAACAACAGGCCAGGCAUGGUGGCUCAUGCUUGUAAUCUCAGCACUUUGGGAGGCCGAGGUGGGAGGAUCUCUUGAGCCCAAGAGUUCAAGAUCAGCCUUGGAAACAUAGUGAAACCCCCAUCUAUACAAAAAGUAAAAAAUUAGCUGGGUGUGGUGGCACAUACCUGUAGUCCCAGCUACUAGGGAGGCCGAGGCUGGAGGAUGAUCACUUGGUCCCAGGAGUUGAGGCUGCAGUGAGCUAUGAUGGUGCCACUACUACACUCCAGCCUGGGUGACAGAGCGAGACCCUUUGUCAAAAUAAUUAUAAUAAAGAUGAUAACAAUAACAAUAAUAGCUAUCAUUUAUCAGUGCGCCAGGCCCUAUGGCAAACAACUUGCAUAUGUUAACUUGUUUCAGACUUACAAAACCGUGUAGGGUAGGAUUAUUAGAAGAGAAAGCUGAGUUUCAGACCUGUAGGAAAGUUUGCCCAGUGUCACUGGCCAGUAAGCAACAGAGCUAAGACUUGAACCUGGGGCUGCCUAGGUCCAAGGCAUGAUUCUAACAUCACACUAUCCUGCCACUAUUAGAGUAUCUUUGCCAGCCUAACUUCAUUGCAGCUGGAGCCAGAAUAGCAGCAAGUGUUUUAUAAAUGUAAAUACCCCAUAUUCAGGGGACAAGCUGUGGAAAUGCAGGCGAGUGUGUGCCCAGGUGGCAGGAGAUCAGGAGGUAGGGAGAUGAUGGGGAAAUCGCAGGUCACAGCAUCUGGGCACCUGAGGCCAAAGUGCUUCAGGGUUGGCCUCAAGAGAAGACAAGAAAGAUGAGGUGGGGGGAGGAGAGAGGAGGCCAGGCUGUCUGAGAGUCCCUGGGGAGAACCUCCAGGUGUUCCUCCUGCUGAGAUAGGCAGGUGGGAAGUGAGAGAAGCGAGCGCUGAUGACUGAGCUGCUGGCGUUCGCAGGAACCUAACUGACUCGGUGGUUGGAGCGGGGGAGUGAGGUUAAUGGGAAUCAGGAGGCUCUCUGAGCCCCGGGGCCUAGUCUUCCUCGUUCUUGUUCCCCUCUCCUUGCCUGAGUGGUCUGUGGUGACCAGCCAGGUUCCUUUACAGGAAACAGCCCAGCAACCUUACAGGGGGAAAAAUGGAGUCCUCCUUAGGUGCAGAAACACAGCAACUUACCUAAGGUCUUGGGGCCCCCUCCCAGGGCAGUGCAUCGAGGUGGGACGUGAGAAGAGAAAAGGGCUUGUCCAGAGGCGCGCGGUUCCACAGCCCAUAAGGUUGGGGGUGGCCCGAACCUGAAACGGAGCCUUGGCCAGGAUCCUGCAACCAAAGUCUGAAGCGCCCCCCGGUGGGGGCCGAGAGCGCUGCAGGCAGGUGGCGGCGCGGGGCAGGCGGGCGGGCGAAGGGAGCUCCGGCUACGCAGAGAACGCGGUGCGCCCCCUUCCCACCUGCGCGAGGGCAUCCUGCCCGGGGGAGGAAAGGCGGGAGUCCGAGGCGGGUCGGAUUCCCAGCCAGCUCCCUCCUCACAGGAGGCGGCCCAUUAUCCGGCGUCGUUAAAGAGCAAUUAGAUGGAAAUUAAGCCGAGAACAAGUAUUGAUUAUCUCAUUAAGGCCGGGGGAGCCCGCUCAGUCGGGGAGAGUUUACCGCCGCUCACCCCAUUAUCUGCAAGGUGAAAGCCUGCGGUCAUCAAAACCCAGUGAUGUAUCGAUCUUGCCCCCAUCCCCAAACCCAUUCCACCCCUCCCCCCUAGAGUAAGUGGGUUCUAGAGAGGUGACACCAGGGGUGUGAUGAGCUGGAGGAAGAGCUCAGGCCCCUACUGUCUCUCUUAGCACUUUCUCUUUAGUUCCCUUUAUUUCUUCAGUUUCUGGUCCCAAAUUUCUUUCUUUCUUUUUUUUGAGACGGAGUCUUGCUCUGUUGCCCAGGCUAGAGUGCAAUGGCGCGAUCUCGGCUCACGGCAACCUCCGCCUCCCGGGUUCAAGCGAUUCUCCUGCCUCAGCCUCUCGAGUAACUAGGAUCGCAGGCAUGUGCCUGCCACAACACCCUGCUAAUUUUUGUAUUUUUAGUAGAGACGGGGUUUCACCAUGUUGGCCAGGAUAGUCUCGAACUCCUGACCUCAGAUUAUCCUCCCGCCUCAGCCUCCCAAAGUUCUGGGAUUACAGGCGUGAGCCACCGAGCCCGGCCCACAUUUCUUCUAAUGGUGGGGAGGGAGGGAAACCAGAGACAGUUCACCUCUCUCCGAGAUUGGAGAAAGAGGACUUCUGUGGUUUUACAUCCAAAGAAGAGAAACUGGAGUUGAGAUGUAAUUGAAAGAAUUUGCCCCUGUUGACACACAGUACAGGGCACCCCUGCGCCCCGAACUCCUUUACCUCCCAGGAGAGGUUGAGUUCUGGGUCACCAUCAUCGCCAAAGGAAGAGAUUCCUAGGACAACCCCACAGGCUCCCCAAAGCCCAGCAACUUCAGAAGUCAGAAGGGGCUUCCUUGGGGUCCCUGAUGGUGUGAUCUUUGUAGAAAAAUCACAGUGUCGAAGAGGAAAGUUUUCAUCCUGGCUUUGCUUCUAACUGGCUAUGUGACCUCCUGCAAGUCACUCUGCCUCUCCAGACCACAGAGUCCUCAAAAGAAUGGGGCCAGAAGAGCCCCAAGGCUCCAGUCCAAGUGCCUAGUUCCCUGCUGGCAGGCACUGGGGAGGCGGCUGUGUGCUCUGCUCCACCUGCCUCAGGAGCUCAUGGUCCCAAGGGGGAGAAGACGCUGAACUGACAUCAUGGAAAUCAGUGUUACAAUUAUAAUAGGAGUCAGGAGAAAGAGUGCAGGUGCUGUGAGGAAGUUUAAGCAGCCAGGAGGCUUGCACAGGAAGCAGAUAUUCCAAUAAACAAACCGGGGACAAGCCUGUUGCCCACUCAUUCAUUCAACACACAAUUACUGAAUGCACAUCGGAGCCCCUGGUGAGCAAAACUGCGGCGUCUUCCCCCUGGAACCCACAGUCCAGUGAGGGAGCCAGACAUCAAUGAUAUAAUCGCCCAAUAAUUGCCGCACAAAUAAAGGCAAAAGCACAAAUACGGUAGGUAUGCUGAAAAGUAUGACGGGGCGCACGGAGAGAGAAUAAGAGAACUGAAUUGAGGGAGGGCGGGGGCCAAGGAAGCCUGUCCAAAAAAGCGAUGGUCGGCCAUCAUUUAAGGUUGGAAGUCCUUAAAUCGAGGCAGCAGGAAAGCUGGAGGAGUCUCCUGGAGAGGGCGAGCCCUUCUUCCCCGAAGUGCCAAGACUUGCCUUCGAGCGCGCCCAGGUCGGCGACGCAGCAGAGAACACUGACGCUCGCAAUCCCAUUGCUGGACUCACCUGAGAGCCUCAGGUGCGCGGGCGAGUGGUAGGAGGAGAAGAAAGGAAGGCGGAGUGGAGCGACAGCAGCGGCAGGUGGUGCGCCCAGCCCGUGCCGGGUUGGCUCGCGCGAAGCGAGCGCCGCCGCCGCAGUAUCUGGGCUCAUCUCCCUGCCCCGGAGCCGGGCAACUAUUAAUCUUGGUUGACGGUUUCUAAUGUCCUGGUUGGGAGGCGGGGAGUGCGGCCCAGUCCGCCCUAAAGGUAGAAGUGGUUAAUGGGCCUCUUCAUCACCGCCAGGAGCCGGUACCUUGCGGAGCGCGAGGGGCGCUGCAGCAGGUGAGCUGCAGAGCUGGCGGAGGCCCUUAAUGAAGCUGCCCGGGCUGGGGCGGACGGAGAGGGAAGCCGGGGGAGGGAGGCGGUUCCAGGGGUGAGAGGUAGGUUCGUCCGCCCCGACAGUCCAGCUUUGGGUGUGUGGAGUGGGGGAGCUCACCUGGGCGCCCUUUACCUGAGGGGGCCUUCUGAAGGCGCAGUGCUGGGGUAGGAUGCUGAGUUAGGCCUGCCUAGAUAUGGAUCUUUUCUAAGGUGACAGGAGUUGGGUGGGAUUGGGGUGGGAAGGGGGGGUGUCCGAUAACCCGGGUCGUCCUGCAAUAAGCGAGGACCAGACACAAAUUGGGUGCUCCGAAAUGUUUGCUGACCUGCAAGGCCUGUGCCUCACGUGUGCAGGGGAGAGAUGUUAGGGUCAAGUGAGAAUUUCGGGACCUCCGGACCCCAGUGAUCAAGAGCGUCCUGUCUUUUUACUGCCGCUCCCGUUCCUUCUCUGUGACUCAGUUUCCCCUCUGAGGCGGGUUUUCAAGCUCCCCAGCCCUCCAACUCCCAAGCCCGUCCCCUCCUCCAGCAUAAGCUAGUGGGACCUGUCCCUAACCCCGUCCUUUCAAUGCAGUCACCACCACCCUCGCCCCCAUCCUGGCCCAGACUGCUGGGAAAGAAGAGGUGGUCCCACCCAGCCGCGCUGGCGCCACUCCAUGGCCCUCCGCUGGGACCCGCUGCCUCCCGGAGACCGGGCUUCUCUGCGGGUUUGGCUGUCUCCCGUUUGCUGUCAGCUUCUCUCCCGCCCUCUCCCGCCUCCAGCUGCAUCAGAAAUAUAUUGUAUUCUCACCUAAUCCUGUUCAAUUACAGCAUAAUAAAACACAUAAUAAAAACCUAAUUCAUUUUUCUCCUGCGCCCCCCAUCUCCCAGCAUGUUCUUGCUCGGGAUUAAAAAUUUGUCUUCAUGUUUGUGGCACGCAGUCCCAACGCCUCCACAUAUUUAAUGUAUGAGCUGGGGACCCGCGGGCUCUGCGGUCUUUGAGCCGGGACGGCGCCUGCCAGUCACCUGAGGAUGCCGGCAGGAAAGAGGGAGGGGUGUGGACCUGCGUGGAGCCCCAGCGGUGCCCACUCCCCUCCUUCUCCUGGAUGAGGCGCUUGAAGGCCCCGAGGUCUCCAGUGGCGGAGAGAGAUAGCACAUCCUUCCCUUCCAGCAGACCCACAGUAGCUUCCAGUAGUCACAGCUUGGAGCAGGUCCUCGGGGAUCGAGUUGGGGAAAGAGACUCCGCCUACCUGGUGCCGCUCGGCGGGAGAUACAGAGCAUAGACACAAAGAGGGGCCCCUCGGUCCUCAGCCUCCAUUCCCUCCUCUGUCUCUGACCUUCUGAGAUGGCUUGGCCUGGCCUGGCCAGUGAAGCUCUGCCUUCCCUGCCUGGACCACCAUGCCCAGUCCCGAUGGGUUCCCUAACACCCUCUGAUCACAUUGUAAACAACCUUGAACUGCUGAAAUAAGGUUAGAACUUCCCACCAACAAGGGAAAAUUUCCUGCAAAGGCACAGUACCUGGUGGGUUUACAGAGGGCAGGUCUGACACCCAAAUGCAGCCCAGUGAUAUUCCUUUGUUUUCUUUUCUUUCUCUUUCUCUCCCUUUCUCUCCUUUCUUUCUCUUUCUUUUUCUUUCUCUAUUUCUUUCCUUUUUCUUUCUUUUGACAGGCUCCACUCUCUUGUCCAGGCUGGAGUGCAAUGACAUAAUCAUAGCUCACUGUAACCUCGAACUCCUGGGUUCAAGUGAUUCUCCUGCCUUGGCCUCCUGAGUAACUACGAUUACAGGCACAUGCCAGCACACCCAGCUAGUUAAAAAAAAUUUUUUUUUUUUUAGAGAUGGGGUCUUGAUAUGUCCCCCAGGCUGGUCUUGAACUCCUGGGUUCAAACCAUCCUCCCACCUUGGCCUCUGAAAGUGUUGGGAUUACAAGUGUGAGCCACAAUGCUUGGCCUGUAUUCCUUCAUUUCUUCCUUCAUUUAUUUAGGACAGAAGUUCUCAAACUUUCUACAUCCAUAGAACCCUUAGUUUUUCAGUAAUUUUUUUCACAGCACCUUAAGUCAAAAGAAAUAGCUAACAGCCGGGCAUGGUGGCUCACGCCUGUAAUCCCAGCACUUUGGGAGGCCAAGGCAGGCGGAUCACCUGAGGUUGGGAGUUUGAGACCAGCCUGACCAACACAGAGAAACCCCUUCUCUACUAAAAAUAAAAAUUAGCCGGACGUGGUGGCAUGUGCCUGUAAUCCCAGCUACUCGGGAAGCGGAGGCAGGAGAAUCGCUUGAACCUGGGAGGCAGAGGUUGUGGUGAGCCAAGAUCGCGCCAUUGCACUCCAGCCUGGGCAACAAGAGUGAGACUCCAUCUCAAAAAAAAAAAAAAAAAAAAGAGAGAGAGAGAAAGAAAAGAUCAUUAGCAGUGAUGAACAAAUCCAGCAGGAUGAACCAGACUCAGAAGACUUGAGAAUUUAGAAAGUAAUGCUGCCAGGUAGAGUGCAGGGUGAUGUUUUACCUGAUACCGUCACUGACCAGCAUCACCAUCCCACCCCACUGUGCCUUGGUGCCUUGGAAAGAAGGUCAUGAAAAUGAAAUCCUAUAUCACUAAGGCCAAGCAACACAGCUGUGGGACCACUCUCUAGGAACUGGACAACAGUACGGUGAAGUUGUCUCCCUUCCAGCCUGCCUUAAGCGAUAGCAGCUUGGUGCCAGCCCCAAGAAGCUGCAGAUGUGAAGGGUAGGUCAGCCCCACAGGGAACUGCCAAAGGAACUAGGCAUUGGCUUGUGCAGGGAAACAGAUAAACAACAGACUUGGAGAGAGUGGCUCUGAUUACACAUGAGACACUCUCUCCAACACCCCAUUCUCUGCAUUGGAAACUCCUGAAGAGACAAGAGAAGAGGGAGGGAGGAGCUGAGUUCUUCCUUCAUCUUGCUGACUAUAAUAACUAGGGGGCAAGCGUCACUUCCUCAGGGGAUUUUUCAAGGCAUGCUACCCCCAAGAUUCUGAUAUGACUCCCUGGGAGGACAUCCUUCCCCAUCCUCCAGGCUGAAAAUCACUAAAGCUGUGAGCCAUCAUUUGUUUUGAAGGUGUCACAUUUUUACGUUUGUUGAGGUAUAAAACAGAUUGAGAACCACUGUGUUUGUGACCUUACCUGAGAUCAAUAUAUGGGUGGGAAUUAGGGCACAUUUGGAUUCCUCAUUUAUUUAUUGAGCAAAUAAGUAUUGAGUACCUACUGUGGAUCAGGCACUAUUGUAGAUGCUGUGGGCA